rnacentral:rRNA from 1 species
AUACGGAGGAUGCAAGCGUUAUCCGGAUUUAUUGGGUUUAAAGGGGGCGUAGGCUGUUCGGAAAGUCAGGGGUGAAAGCCCGGCGCCUAACGCCGGAACUGCCUUUGAUACUUCCGAGCUGGAAUACGGAUGCCGUGGGAGGAAUGAGUAGUGUAGCGGUGAAAUGCAUAGAUAUUACUCAGAACACCGAUUGCGAAGGCAUCUCACGAAUCCGUCAUUGACGCUGAGGCACGAAAGCGUGGGGAUCAAACAGGAUUAGAUACCCCGGUAGUCCACGCAGUAAACGAUGAUGACUAACCGUCGGCGAUACACAGUCGGUGGCCAAGCGAAAGCGAUAAGUCAUCCACCUGGGGAGUACGUUCGCAAGAAUGAAACUCAAAUGAAUUGACGGGG